GUCGACGCGCUGCCGCUCCUGAUCCUUGUUCUGGCAGUUGCGCACGUCACUGAUGAAGACGGACAGCCCUCGCAUACCCGACAGCGCCAUGUCCGCCGCCCCCGCCGCCGACCGCGACGGAUGACGGGAUCACAGAUCGGGAAGCUCAGAUCCGGUGAUCCCUCAGGGAGAUCUGCACCGCCGCCACAAAGGCGAAAACCCUAGGACGGAGAGGCCGUGGGAGGAGGAGGAGCUGGUGGCGGCAGAUCGGGAAUCCGUCGGGUUGUUG
rnacentral:misc_RNA from 1 species